UACAGAGGGUGCAAGCGUUAAUCGGAAUUACUGGGCGUAAAGCGCAUGUAGGUGGUUUGGCAAGUUGGAUGUGAAAGCCCUGGGCUUAACCUGGGAACUGCAUUCAAAACUAUCAAGCUAGAGUAGAGUAGAGGGAAGUGGAAUUUCCGGUGUAGCGGUGAAAUGCGUAGAUAUCAGGAGGAACACCAAUGGCGAAGGCAGCUCGCUGGAACGGUACUGACGCUGAGGCGCGAAAGCGUGGGGAGCGAACAGG
rnacentral:rRNA from 1 species